rnacentral:lncRNA from 1 species
UUGGGCAUUCUGGGAAACCAGGGCCAAGAAGUUUAGGCUCUCGCUGACAGUUAUAUUCAUUCUGGAGCCACAAAGUCCUCCUGUUUAAUUAAGUGCUGAGAGUUGGGGACUCGCUUAAUGACUGGAUUGCCUCUUGUUCCCAGCACAAAAAAGUGGACCAACAUCUGCAUGGUCUUCUCCAGGUAGGAGAGAGCAGAUGGUUUAAGCCUUUGCCAGGAGGCCUCAUUCACACGCUGGAUUUUAAGGCAUCGUGGUGCUUGUGAGGUGCUUGGCGUGGUAUGAAGGGGUCACUUAGAAGGUGAGCAAGACAUUAAAUGCUCCAUUUCCUCACUGUGAGGUAACACUCUGCAGUCAAACCAGGAGGAGGGAUUUAUUUCAUUUGCUCCUGAAGUUAAAUCUCAUGAAAUCAUGUGAAAUUCAGUGAUGUGUUACUGGGAACAAAAAGGGUUACGUUAUUAAUUGUGAUGCCUUCCCACAAGAGCUGUGUCUGUACUGUGCCACAUAACCCCUGAAGCUGAAUAAAGAACUUUCUCCUUGAUUCCCCCAGCCCUCCAAAAACAUCAGCAGGUGAUGAGGUCCCAUUGUAAAUGACCCAAGGACAAACAGCUCAUGACUUCAAAGGAGGCCUCUUCAACCCAGGGCAAAUUCAGGCCUUCAUUCCAGGGGUCUGUAAGCAAGUACUGAGUGAAGAGAUAUCCUAAAAUCAAUCGUUCCUCUUUGCCAACCCUGGAUAAUGGCAACAACUUCUUUAGUGGCAUGCUGCAUGCUCUGUUUGGUCAUGUCCAGAGAUACCCAAGAUAAAGAAGUUUGAUAAAUAUACACAUUAACUCAGCAAAAAUAACAUGGUUAUUUUCAUGAAUAUUGCACUUGGGCACAUCAGCAAAAUUCAAAAGUGAUAAAAGGUGAGCAUUGUAUAUGAAUUUUGCAUAUGUACAUGGUAAUAUUUUGACACUAGGAACAAUAUUUUAAGUUGAAAUGUCUAUAUUUUAAUUUAGUAAAGAUUUGGCAAGCCCCUGCUAUAUUAGCAAUAUCAAGAUAAUGAGAUAAAGAUCCCACUCUCAAUAAAAAUAUAAAAUUAUACAUGUUUCUUGUGCCCAUCAUCAGCCAUCGUUAUGAACAUCACUCUGAACUGUUAUGCACAAUAAGAUAACUAGAGGGUUAAAAAUGAAGGUUUUACUGCUCACGUUGAAUAUUAUUUUUAGAAAAGAAAGUCAUUUCUAUUAUAGAGGAGGCAUUGUGGUCUACUAUAAUGGCAAGCAUAUUAAAAACAAUGCAUUCCUGGUGAAAUAAUGCUUAGAGCAUAGUCAACAAAAUAAGCAGGCUGCUGAAAAAAGUUUAAAUGUCAUAUUUCAUUAAUUCUAAGACACAUUUCCUCCUGCUUUUAGAUCUCUCAAAUUGAAAGGCAUCUUACAACCUAUAGAUGAAAUCUAGUAAAUAGAAUAAGAUAAAAAGUAUCUUAGUUUCUUUCCUUGGGUUGUUUGCCUUUCUUUUAAGGGAAGGUUUGUUUGACUGUUGUGUUUUGUUUUUAACAGCUUGUUUAUGAAUCUUCCCUUUUCUAGCGUUAAUGAUUGUGUGAGCCUAGAAUUUAAAUGGUACAAAACUCUGAUUUUUGUUUUUAUUCUUUGUUCUGACCAUUACUGAGGGGAGUACAGGACACUGAAGCAGAAACAAGGUCUGAAAGUGGCAAUGUGGACCUUGCUCCUCUGUGGAGGACUCUGGUACCUGUCUGUGUCUGAAUCUUGCCACUUCCACUUAUCUAGCUUUGCGAUCUGGAAAAGAUUAACUUUAGCCUCUCUGUGCCUCAGUUUCUUCAAGUGCUGAAUAAUGGUAUCUACCUCAUAGUGCUGCUAUGAGGGUUGAGUUUAAUAUAAGUAAGGCCUUAGAAUAAUGCCUGGCACAUACUAAAUAUUCUCUCAACUUUAGCUGUUACCAUUGUGCCUCACUUCC